UAAAAAUGGACAAUGUCCGACAGUAGAAUUAGGGGUACAAUAUGCCCACCUGAGAGACAAGAAAAAGAAGAGCAUCUCAUUCUCCUCAUAAAGUUUCAAAAGCAAGGAAGGUAUGUAUCCCCUCAAAGAGCAAAGUAGAAUUAGACUUUCACCACCAUUAUUUCCACUAUUGUUAUCACCAUCAUCACCAUACACCAUUCAUUCGCCACACAUGCACAUCUUGAUUUGGCUUAUUGAUUUAUUUCUUUGGAUCCAUGGUUUGACUAUGCAAUAAAUGUCUUAUAAGUAUGUAUACUUUAUCUUCCACCUAUGAACUCCAGAUAUUAAAGCCUUAUUAGAGUAGGGUGAGAGAGAAGACAAUGUCAUUAUGCUUUGUACCAGAAAUACUACAUAUUUUGAGAGAAGGCAUAUACCAUCACUGCCUUGGUAAGGAUCCAAAAAUACCACAAA
rnacentral:lncRNA from 1 species